rnacentral:rRNA from 1 species
CUAACUACGUGCCAGCAGCCGCGGUAAUACGUAGGUGGCAAGCGUUAUCCGGAAUCAUUGGGCGUAAAGGGUGCGUAGGUGGCACGAUAAGUCUGAAGUAAAAGGCAACAGCUCAACUGUUGUAUGCUUUGGAAACUGUCGAGCUAGAGUGCAGAAGAGGGCGAUGGAAUUCCAUGUGUAGCGGUAAAAUGCGUAGAUAUAUGGAGGAACACCAGUGGCGAAGGCGGUCGCCUGGUCUGUAACUGACACUGAUGCACGAAAGCGUGGGGAGCAAAUAGGAUUAGAUACCCUAGUAGUCCACGCCGUAAACGAUGAGAACUAAGUGUUGGAGAGAUUCAGUGCUGCAGUUAACGCAAUAAGUUCUCCGCCUGGGGAGUAUGCACGCAAGUGUGAAACUCAAAGGAAUUGACGGGGGCCCGCACAAGCGGUGGAGUAUGUGGUUUAAUUCGAAGCAACGCGAAGAACCUUACCAGGCCUUGACAUGGAUAUAAAUGUUCUAGAGAUAGAAAGAUAGCUAUAUAUCACACAGGUGGUGCAUGGUUGUCGUCAGCUCGUGUCGUGAGAUGUUGGGUUAAGUCCCGCAACGAGCGCAACCCUUAAGCUUAGUUGCCAUCAUUAAGUUGGGCACUCUAAGUUGACUGCCGGUGACAAACCGGAGGAAGGUGGGGAUGACGUCAAAUCAUCAUGCCCCUUAUGGCCUGGGCUACACACGUACUACAAUGGCGCCUACAAAGAGCAGCGACACCGCGAGGUGGAGCGAAUCUCAUAAAGGGCGUCUCAGUUCGGAUUGAAGUCUGCAACUCGACUUCAUGAAGUCGGAAUCGCUAGUAAUCGCAGAUCAGCAUGCUGCGGUGAAUACGUUCUCGGGCCUUGUACACACCGCCCGUCAAACCAUGGGAGUUGGUAAUACCCGAAGCCGGUGGCAUAACCGCAAGGAGUGAGCCGUCGAAGGUAGGACCGAUGACUGGGGUUAAGUCGUAACAAGGUAUCCCUACGGGAACGUGGGGAUG